rnacentral:rRNA from 1 species
GUCUUCUUGAUUUUGUUAGAGGUUGGACCUGCCCGGUGUUAUAUUAACGGCCGCGGUAUUUUGACCGUGCAAAGGUAGCAUAAUCAUUAGUCUUUUAAUAGGAGGCUGGAAUGAAGGGUUUGACGAGGUAAUAACUGUCUCAUUUAAAUAAGGUUAAAAUUUAAUUUUUGAGUUAAAAAGCUUAAAUAUUAUUGGAAGACGAGAAGACCCUAUAGAGCUUUACAUCUAUACUUGUGAUUCUAAUUAGUUAUAUAAAUAUGGGUUACUAGUUGUAAGUGUUUUGUUGGGGUGACAUGAAAUAUUUAAUUAACUUUUAUAUUAGUUUUACAUUAAUUUGUGGGUUUUAGAUCCAUUACUAUUGAUCAUUAGAAUAAGUUACCUUAGGGAUAACAGCGUAAUCCUCUUUUGAAGUUCAAAUUUACAAGGGGGCUUGCGACCUCGAUGUUGGAUUAAGAUAAUAAUUAGGUGUAGCAGCUUAAUUUAUGGGUCUGUUCGACCUUUAAAUUCUUACAUGAUCKGAKUUCAAACCGG